UUCAUCUUCUCUCAAUCAUUGAAGAACCCUAAUCCAAGUCCGCCAUUUCUGGCCAGCAAAAAGCUCCGUCCACCUUAAAAGUCCAACCAAGCCACCAAAUCAACCUCUAUUUCUCAUGGAAUCACCACCAAGUCGGGCAAGUUUCGAUUUAAAGUCGAAGAGAAGAGUAACUUUUCAGAGCCUUCAAGUUUUUUAAGAACGAUUUGUUUCUGAGUCAGUAUAGGUCGUUUGUUCUCAAGCAGAACACGCAGUCAAUAUAGAAUUCGAGUCGAAUCGGAGACUUCAGAAAUUUUGAUUGAAGGGCUGAUUUUAGUAUGUUUUUAUUUCUUUAGCUUUUCAUUUGUUUCGUCGUUUUGUUUAGUUCAAUCGAGCAUGAGUUUUGUUUCUAGGUAAAACCUGAGUUUAUCUUUUAAUUGCUCUAAUUCGUCUUAAGCCAGUUUUAGUCUUUGUUUAAAUUCUGAAUUGUUUUAAAUUCCUUGUUAGUUUGUCG
rnacentral:lncRNA from 1 species